AGGUCAGCGGCUAUCCUGUCCGCCUGAAAAGCGGAAGGUCGGCGGUUCGAUCCCGCCCCUGGCCACCA
rnacentral:tRNA from 1 species